rnacentral:rRNA from 1 species
UCCCCCAGUAGCGGCGAGCGAACGGGGAGGAGCCCAGAGCCUGAAUCAGUGUGUGUGUUAGUGGAAGCGUCUGGAAAGGCGCGCGAUACAGGGUGACAGCCCCGUACACAAAAAUGCACAUGCUGUGAGCUCGAUGAGUAGGGCGGGACACGUGGUAUCCUGUCUGAAUAUGGGGGGACCAUCCUCCAAGGCUAAAUACUCCUGACUGACCGAUAGUGAACCAGUACCGUGAGGGAAAGGCGAAAAGAA